AAUACCGGAUCCGGGUGGCGAUUAUAGGGUACCCAUUGUCAUCCUAUUCUUCAAUUUACACUGGUCACUCACCCUUUUAUCUUUUUUGGUCAACCAGAUCAUCGCCGGCGAAUAAUUCAAAAUCCGGCGCCGCAAAAUCAUCGCCUUUGAGCUUCAUCAAAGCGAGAAUCAUCAUAAAGUGAUCUCUUUGAGCGGGUUAUAGUAUAUAGGCAUGUCUUUCAAUGGCUUCCCUCCAUUCAUUUCAGCUCAGCUCCAUUAUCUCGUCAAUUACUUCCCCGAAAAAAUCAAGUUUUGAUUUGCGGGUUGAGCAGGUGUUAUCUGGUGGCAAAACCUACUCGGGGGGUCUCGAUCGAUUCACAUUGCUUAUUCCAUAUUGCUUAGACUAUAUUAAAUGGGGUACUAUAUAUUCCCAUUGGCUCCGCCGGAUAUAAUAUUUGGACCCGAAGACGAGGAUUUUCACACAUUACACAUGUCUGGCAGUGUAGGAGAGGGGGACUUGAAGUUUCUAAACAUGUUGUCUGAUUGGAACCAUAAAGACCAUGCUA